rnacentral:rRNA from 1 species
AGCGAACGCUGGCGGCGCGCCUUACACAUGCAAGUCGAACGUGAAAGGGCUUCGGCCUAAGUAAAGUGGCGCACGGGUGAGUAAUAUGUAGAUAAUCUACCCUAGAGCCUGGGAUAACCUGCCGAAAGGCGGGCUAAUACCGGAUAGAGCGAGGGGUUCGUGAAGGACCCUUCGGGAAAGGGAGCUCGCAAGAGCCCUCACUUUAGGAUGAGUCUGCGCCCGAUUAGCUAGUUGGUGGGGUAAUGGCUCACCAAGGCGAUGAUCGGUAGCUGGUCUGAGAGGAUGAUCAGCCACACUGGAACUGAGACACGGUCCAGACUCCUACGGGAGGCAGCAGUGGGGAAUAUUGGACAAUGGGGGGAACCCUGAUCCAGCCAUGCCGCGUGUGUGAAGAAGGUCUUAGGAUUGUAAAGCACUUUAAGUUGGAGGAAGGGCAGUUAACUAAUAUUUGACUGUUUUGACGUUACCGACAGAAUAAGCACCGGCUAACUUCGUGCCAGCA